rnacentral:pre_miRNA from 11 species
GGAAAGGCCUUUUUUCAGAUGACAAGCCGUAGGGCUUAGCCCACCUGUGAACAGCAUUGGAUUCAGCCAUGUUCACAGUGGCUAAGUUCCGCUGCUUGGAGUUCAUUAUCUUCACACCAAAU